AUGGACUCUAGCAGGCGCCCGAGUGGAAUCCAGCAAUUGCUUGCUGCAGAGCAAGAGGCUCAGCAAAUUGUAAAUGCUGCUAGGGCUGCUAAAACGGCAAGGCUUAGGCAAGCCAAAGAAGAGGCUGAGAGAGAAAUAGCUGAGUACCGUGCACAAAUGGAGGCUGAUUUCCAGAGGAAGCUCACUGAGACCAGCGGUGACUCUGGCGCAAACGUCAAACGCCUUGAGCAAGAGACAAACGUAAAGAUUGAGCAGCUCAAGCAGCAGGCAGCAAACAUCUCUCCAGAGGUGAUUCAGAUGCUUCUGAGGCACGUCACAACUGUGAAGAACUAA
rnacentral:rRNA from 1 species